UACGGAGGAUGCAAGCGUUAUCCGGAUUCAUUGGGUUUAAAGGGUGCGUAGGUGGACUCAUAAGUCAGCGGUGAAAGUUUGCAGCUUAACUGUAAAAUUGCCGUUGAAACUGUCGGUCUUGAGUGCAAAUGAGGUAGGCGGAAUGUGUCGUGUAGCGGUGAAAUGCAUAGAGAUGACACAGAACACCGAUAGCGAAGGCAGCUCACAAAGCUAUUACUGACGCUGAUGCACGAAAGCGUGGGGAUCAAACA
rnacentral:rRNA from 1 species